rnacentral:rRNA from 1 species
AACGAACGCUGGCGGCAGGCCUAACACAUGCAAGUCGAGCGAGCGUCUUCGGGCGCUAGCGGCGGACGGGUGAGUAACGCGUGGGAACGUGCCCUUUGCUACGGAAUAGCCCUGGGAAACUGGGAGUAAUACCGUAUGUGCCCUUUGGGGGAAAGAUUUAUCGGCAAAGGAUCGGCCCGCGUUGGAUUAGGUAGUUGGUGGGUAAUGGCCUACCAAGCCGACGAUCCAUAGCUGGUUUGAGAGGAUGAUCAGCCACACUGGGACUGAGACACGGCCCAGACUCCUACGGGAGGCAGCAGUGGGGAAUCUUAGACAAUGGGCGCAAGCCUGAUCUAGCCAUGCCGCGUGAGCGAUGAAGGCCCCUAGGGUUGUAAAGCUCUUUCGGGGGGAAGAUAUGACGUACCCCAGAAGAAGCCCGGCUAACUCCGUGCCAGCAGCCGCGGUAAUACGGAGGGGGCUAGCGUUGUUCGGAAUUACUGGGCGUAAAGCGCACGUAGGCGGAUUGGAAAGUCAGGGGUGAAAUCCCGGGGGCUCAACCCCGGAACUGCCUUUGAAACUCCCAGUCUUGAGGUCGAGAGAGGUGAGUGGAAUUCCGAGUGUAGAGGUGAAAUUCGUAGAUAUUCGGAGGAACACCAGUGGCGAAGGCGGCUCACUGGCUCGAUACUGACGCUGAGGUGCGAAAGCGUGGGGAGCAAACA